GACGAACGAUGGCGGCGUGCCUAAUACAUGCAAGUCGAACGCAGUGGGGACGGGUGAGUAACACGUGGGUAACCUGCCAUCAGAGGGGAAAACACUUGGAAACAGGUGCUAAACCGAUACUGAUGGAUGGACCCGCGGUGACGUGGCUAGUUGGUGAGGUAACGGCUCACAAAGGCCACGAUGCAUACCCUACCUGAACGGUUGAUCGGCCACCCUGGGACUGAGACAAGGCCCAGACUCCUACGGGAGGCAGCAGUAGAGAAUCUGCGGCAAUGUACGAAAGUCUGACCGAGCAACGCCGCUUGAGUGAAGAAGGUUUUCGGAUCGUAAAACUCUGUUGUUAGAGAAGCGGUAUCUAACCAGAAAGCCACGGCUAACUACGUGCCAGCAGCCGCGGUAAUAC
rnacentral:rRNA from 1 species